UACGAAGGGGGCUAGCGUUGUUCGGAAUUACUGGGCGUAAAGCGCGUGUAGGCGGGUCUUUAAGUCAGGGGUGAAAUGCCAAGGCUCAACCUUGGAACUGCCUUUGAUACUGGAGAUCUUGAGUCCGGGAGAGGUGAGUGGAAUUGCGAGUGUAGAGGUGAAAUUCGUAGAUAUUCGGAAGAACACCAGUGGCGAAGGCGACUCACUGGACCAUUACUGACGCUGAGGCACGAAAGCUAGGGGAGCAAACAGG
rnacentral:rRNA from 1 species